UACGUAGGUGACCAGCGUUGUCCGGAUUUACUGGGCGUAAAGAGCGCGCAGGCGGUCGUUCAAGUCGAGUGUGAAAGCCCCCGGCCCAACUGGGGAGGGUCAUUCGAUACUGAUCGACUGGAAGGCAGGAGAGGGAAGCGGAAUUCCCGGUGUAGUGGUGAAAUGCGUAGAUAUCGAGAGGAACACCAGUGGCGAAGGCGAGUCUCUGGACGACUCCUGACACUGAGGCACGAAAGCUAGGGGAGCAAACAGG
rnacentral:rRNA from 1 species